UUAUUUAGUAUAAAAAAAAAUAUAUUUAUUUUCCAAAUAAAUGAUCUAAUGUAUUAGAAUAAAGA
rnacentral:tRNA from 1 species